rnacentral:tRNA from 1 species
GGGCUGGGGCUCAUUGGUAGAGUGCUCGUCUCACAUGUGUGAGGCCCUGGGUUCAAUCCUCAGCACCACA